UCCCAGGACCCUGGGAUCGUGACCCGAGCCGAAGGCAGAUGCUUAACGACUGAGCCACCCAGGUGCCCCGCUUCUUGCUCUUUUAAAAACUAGUGUCACAUGUGGAGCCAAGAAGUCAUAACAAGGGUUCAGCUUAUGCUGUGAUUAUGUCAAAAAGGAAAUUCUACUAUAGAUAUGUAAGAAUCGAUAUGCAAAGGAGAUGUGCAAAUCCAGAGAAAAUCGCCAAAACUACUAUUGUUGUGCCAGAAGUUUGAAAGUUUUUUUGUUUUUCUUUUAAAACUCAUCUAGAAAUUGGGAUGUGGAAAGUCAGAGUCACUUAAAAGCGACAAAAAUAUUGAAACAACCUGUUAAGUUCAUUUUGCUUAAGAAUUCCUCAGGAUGUCCACCAUCUCGUCAACCCCAUUAUUCCCUUGGGAAUGACUAGAGUUUGUCAAAUUCCACCCCCAUGUGAACCUGACCUGAAACUGUCAGAAGCAUGAAAUCCCUGGAAAGAGCUUUCAAGUUACCACAUUGCUGCACAUGAGCCGAAAAAUUUUCGUACAUGGAAGAAAAUAAACAUUCUAACUCUCUUCAUAAAGCAUGGCUUCUUGGAUAUGUUUUCUAAAAAGCAAAUGAUUAAAGCAAGAGACACGCCAGUCUUUUCUCCCUAGUCGUUAGGUUGGCAAUAGUAUGGAAUCAGUAAUUCUAAGAUCCUUUCUCCUACAUAACAGAAAGCACUGACCUAAAGAGUCUUGACUCUGGUUUGACUCUUUGGUCUGCCAAAGCCAAUCCAGACCAAGCCACUACCCCUUUCCCACACGUGUGAAAAGAAGAAAUAUCUCCAGCUCUUUGGAUUCCACAGAGUUGUUGUAAGGAUCAAACAAGAAAUUGCUUUAUAAACUAUAACUUGCUGUGCAAAUGCAUGGAAUGCUUGGGACACACAUUUUUCAAUAUCAUUUAUGCAAAUGCAGAUGAGUGCAUUAACUAUAGCCAGAAAAAUAACAAUAAAGAGCGUAGGAAGCAUGUAACAAUAAUAGUGGCUAACACUUAUGGAAUUCCAACUAUGUCUAGGCACUAGGCUAAGCACUUCAUAUGUAUUAUCUCAUUUAAUUAUCACAGUAACCCUUUAUGAGUUAUUAUUCCAUUUUUUAUAUAAGGACACCGUAGCUCAGAGAUGUCAGGUAAUUUGUUCAAGAGUUCACAGCAAGAGGAAGGUUAGAAACUCACAUCCAGGUCUCAAUAGUUACCUACUAUGUUUCAAUAUGUUUAUUUCUGUUGGCUAGGAGUUUGAGAAAUCAUAUAAACCCCCUCUGGCAUGCAAGAGAAUGAUAAAGGAAACAAAAGAAGAAGCUGAAGAGUGAGAAGAAAUAGAAGAAGCUAGACAGUCACAACACACUUUAAUUCUUCUUUAGAAAGCCAUCAGAAAUCUUUAUUAUCUAAGAUAGUUCUGCAAAGUGUCUUAUAAAAUCACAUUGUGAUUUCUGGACUAUUUCCAACCUUGAAUGUUGGUCAUCCCUGAGGUAGGAAAGAACAACUUGCAACAUUCCUCCCAUGGGGAUGGCAACAGCAAUAUACAGCUAGACUGUGGAAGUUGGACAGGACUCCCAUGGCUGAGUCCAGCAAAGACAUCUCUUCUUGAUUUUCCAGGUACCAUGCUGGAGCACAAAAUACAGUCUUACAUAUAGAGAUGGUGCUAUAGGAAAAUACAUGCCACCUUAUACACAGCCCACUGACAAGCUUUUGGAAUCCAACUUGCUUAUAAUAGGGGGACCACAUCUAUGAUGUGGAGUUUCACUUGAGCUGGGCAAUUGAAAGUUGUCUACAUUUGCUUUUCUAAAUGAUUUUCCCCAGAUCCUUCUUAUGCUUUUUAUUAGGAGGCCUUUUUUCCCCCCAUUGGUAUAGUAUUUGAUUUUAAGAACAAAGGUAUCCUUCCUUGCCAGUAUAGUAUUAUAGCCAUCAAAAGAAGGCUCAGACACCAGAUAAAGGCCUGUGUAACUAGAAUGAGGGAAUGGCCUAUAUUUUCAACCAAGUUCAUCAUCUCACAAAUGAAAAGUUCAAAGCAAAAGAUAGGCUGUUUUAGGCCAAGUCCUCCAGGGUAUUUUCUUUUUCAAUUACCCAAUGAGAAUCCAGAAAUGUGGGUUUUUGUGCAUGAGAAGUGAUUGCAAUUCAACAUUAGGACCUUAAAACAUCACUGGAUUCAUCUUUAAAACUGAUUUAUUAGAGAAUGCACUGACAAUGGCAGGCCCUGAGAGCUCGCCCCAGAAGAUAGACAACAUGUGUUUCAAAAUGUAGUCACCCUUCAAGCUAAGUAGGCUCAUUUGAACAAUAGUUCCUAAAUUACAGCUAAAAUGAAUUUCCCUACAGAAGAUCAUCAGGGAGAGAGCCGAAAGUAAUACUUGGGCCAUACACAUUUGUUUUUAUUGUAGUAAAAUACACAUAACAUAAAUUUACCAUUUUAACCAUUUUUAAGUGUUCAGUUCUGUGACAUUAAGUAUGUUCACAUUUCUGUAUAACUAUCACCACCAUCCGUCUCCACUCAGAAUUCAUUCAAAGAU